GCGGGAGUAGUUCAAGGGCAGAACGUUGGCGCAAAUGCGCCAAAGGGUGAUGGUUCGAAUCCAUCUUCCCGUU
rnacentral:tRNA from 1 species